GGAUGCCGCCACAGCAUGGCUUGAUAAGCGGUGCAUAGGUCCAUGCCCGGGAUCCCAACCCGCAAACCCUGUGCCGCCAAAGCAGAACAUGAAAA